UUGUGUUUCUCAUUCAUGCAGAGCAAGAGGUGCAACAAAUAGAACAGAAUCUCCCCAAAUAUCGCGUAAAGGGCUUUUCGCCAGCAGUGAUGCCGUGGGCAGUUCGAGGGUGUGUAAACCGUAAAACCAAGAGCAACGGCCCGGGCUGUCGCAUGCACAAAAUCCCGUCGAGCGAACCAGCCCGAAGCCGGUGGCUCGCAUUAAUUUACCGUCCGAAUAUUAUUAUACCGAACACCGACGUUCGAACAUGCGGUCUACACUUCAAACCGACAGCUUACGAAUCCCCCGCAAACGUCGUGAAAUCUGUGGGUGCGGACUUCCGAAUCUAUUUGAAGCGCGGCGUUGCUCCCUCCCAAGAUCUACCGGGCCAACCUGUGCAGAACGAGCGGGAGCAAAUGAACACUGCAGCUGUAACAGUUGUUGGAGAGGAGACUGAGAUCAAGGUUGAAACAACUGUGCAGAGCACUGCGCGGAGUGAUACCGCAGAAACUAAAACAUAGUCCUCGUGGAAAGAUUGUGCCUAUUGUGCAGAGUACCGAGUCGCAGCGCACAGUCCUUCAAACAGAAAUGGCGGCAGCGCCGGAACCUGGACACGGGCUUUUUCCAGAUGUCCUUAAAUCUGGGAGCUGUUGCUGUCGUCUGCUACGGUAGUUGUACGUCCACUUCUGCACGUUCAAAAUCCAAACUUCCAUCGUCCAUGAUGCAGAUCUCGCGGGCCGAUUAGUAGAGCCCCUAGCAGAUCGUGCGGACAGGCUUCUCAUAAGGGUUGCCGAUUACGGCAGGGUCGUUAUAAUCUAGUCGGUCAUGGAGCAGACAUACCCAUCUCGGUCCCUUCCUGCACUGUGCAAAGAUGCCUCGAUGCAAGUCUGUGGCCUGCUGAAGAAAACCGUGGCAGUGCAGACAUGUAAACCGAGGCGCGUUCCAAAAGGCACCCAAGCGCACCUCCACGCCAAACUCAUGCGAGCCAUCGGUGUACAAGAGGGCAACACUGGUAGCUCUUCUUGGGAGCAAGCACAUAGCAGAUCUCCCUCUCCGGAUCACUGUCCUCAGCUAAUGCUGGAUGAGAAGGCCCUACAGUAAUGGCAACAAUGCCUGGCUGACCCUCUGAAGCACAAAAUAGCAACGGCUGCCUGAAGUUUUCGAAGGACGAAAGAACAUACACCAUAAAGUGGACGUCGAGUACAGGAAUGGUUCAAUUGCUGUGAGGCGAUCGUUGAAGACUUCCUGUCGCCGCUUCUAUUGAACCCCUGGUGAGGAAGCCAUAAGCCUAAUGUUGCGCCAUCUCGCCAAGAACAGCUACACUCAGCGUCUGGAACCUGUUGCAUUGGCAGCCUUCCAGGCAAAAUGACCACCCUUCUACACCACGUGAUCCACAGCGACGAAUUGUGCCACAUUGGUGUACCUUCAAUGCCAUGCCACGUCUUGAAUCAGUGGUACAUGUGCGGAACUGCUGAAUGAAACUGCUUUAUGAAUAAAAUAAAGAAAAAAAUGGCGUU